CCUACGGGCGGCUGCAGUGGGGAAUAUUGGACAAUGGGGGCAACCCUGAUCCAGCCAUGCCGCGUGUGUGAAGAAGGCCCUCGGGUUGUAAAGCACUGUCAGUGAGGAAGAACGCCUGGUGGUUAAUACCCAUCAGGAAAGACAUCACUCACAGAAGAAGCACCGGCUAACUCCGUGCCAGCAGCCGCGGUAAUACGGAGGGUGCGAGCGUUAAUCGGAAUUACUGGGCGUAAAGCGCGCGUAGGUGGCUUGAUAAGCCGGUUGUGAAAGCCCCGGGCUCAACCUGGGAACGGCAUCCGGAACUGUCAAGCUAGAGUGCAGGAGAGGAAGGUAGAAUUCCCGGUGUAGCGGUGAAAUGCGUAGAGAUCGGGAGGAAUACCAGUGGCGAAGGCGGCCUUCUGGACUGACACUGACGCUGAGGUGCGAAAGCGUGGGUAGCAAACAGGAUUAGAUACCCCAGUAGUC
rnacentral:rRNA from 1 species